AUGCUGGUCCACGACACCUGCCUGCUGCGGCACGCCAGCGCGAGCUUCUUCGGCGCCGCCGACACAUCGCGGGUCAAGUACCGGCGGAAUCCGCAGAACGCGACGCAGCCGGAGCAGUUCGCGUCGCUGCUGGCCCCGCUGAUGGGCAGCCUCGCCGAGAGGGCGGCGUACGCGUCUCCGCGGAUGUUCGCCGUCGGCACGGCCGACGUGACGUCCUCCGACAGGAUCUACGGCAUGGCGCAGUGCACGCGGGACCUCGGUAAGGACGACUGCCACAGCUGCCUCGUCACUGCCGUCUCAAGGAUCCCGACCUGCUGCGCCGGGAGGCGGGGUGGUCAGGUCAUCUUCCGGACCUGCUCCGUCCGGUUCGAGGUCUACCCUUUCUUCAGCACCCCCUCUGAGGCGGCCAUGUUGCGGACGCCGCCGCCGCAGCCAGCAGGUCAAAUCAUGGACGGUAAUUCUAAGAUCAGCUUAUCAAACGGGUUGUGCGUCUAUAAAAAAGCGUCUGACGCCUGCCAUUUAGAUGGAAAGUGCCACUGUUGCGACGUGACAGAUUUGUGCUAUCUCACAGUCGCUCUGUGCAAGAAAUAUUGUGAAGGUUCUCCACACUAG
rnacentral:rRNA from 1 species